rnacentral:rRNA from 1 species
CGGCGGUGGUAACUAUAACCAUCCUAAGGUAGCGAAAUUCCUUGUCGGGUAAGUUCCGACCUGCACGAAUGGAGUAACGACUUCCCUACUGUCUCAACCAUGAACUCGGCGAAAUUGCAGUACGAGUAAAGAUGCUCGUUUCGCGCAGCAGGACGGAAAGACCCCGAGACCUUUACUAUAGUUUGGUAUUGGUGUUUGGUGUGGCUUGUGUAGGAUAGGUGGGAGACUGUGAAACUAUCACGCUAGUGGUGGUGGAGUCGUUGUUGAAAUACCACUCUGGUUACUCUGGAUAUCUAACUUC